UUGUAUUUUUUUUUUAAUGUAAGCCAGGGGCGGCUUCCCGCAUGACCGAUUCAUUUGCAGUCUGGACGAGGAGGGUUUGAACAUCUCCUGCUCUGACUGCAGCUGGGAGGGACUGCUGGCGAGGACUUGGCCGCCUGUGAGUGCUUUGGGACGGGGGUGGGGCCCACGGCAGCACCUGCUACUCGUUGAGAAGAUGCCAAACAACCAAUGCAGUUGUGAAGAACUCUCCCGCAUUUAUUUCUGUCAUCUGUGCUUCCCAGUGUCCAAUCACUUACAGAAGUGAAAUGGAUAAUUGAAAGGAUCAAAUAAAUGGGAGCUGCAACUAAAAACCAUAACCUCAAGUCUCUCCCCCCAUCCUUGCCCUCUGACUGGGACAGCUGCAUCUGUAUCACCAUCUACUCCCACCAGUGCAUUCAAAAUAGGCAGCCUGCCUUAGAAUAUUCUAUCUUGAUCAUUUUGAAAUGUAGUAACAGGUCCAGGUAGAAUAAACAAGUCUGUAGGCCUACAUAAUACCAUAGAAACAGUGUUCUGUGAAUAUAACAAUGUGCACCUUCAUCUUUGGUCAUUCCCAGCCGAUACAGAUACUGUGCCCAUCUGCAUUAUGUCUGGUGGUAAUGGGGCUGCCUUGGCAAAAGUGAGUGGUCAUACCUUCCUGUGUGGUGUCCUGUAUACAACAGGAGUUCUCUGGUGCAGAACAUACAGGGUUUCCCCCUCCCCAUAAUGACUGACACUAUUCAUUUAAAUAAUAAAAGACAAUGCAAGUAAAAGUUGA